GAAGAAGUAGAAGCCAGGUGUAAAUCUUUAACUAUUAUUGAGGGGAGGCGCCAGGAGGGAGGCUCCUUGAUGGGUGUGGUUUCCACAGGUCACGUGUCCACAUGUUUAGGGUGUAGUUAAAGGAAGUCCUGUAUUUAAACUAAAGUACGAGGAUUAAGAGCUGCAGUGACUCGUUGUGGAUAAAGGUCUCACCAGGUGCAACCAUGUCGUUCAACCUUAAUGAAGCUGUUGGUGGUGAUGAAGAGGUGAAGAAAGACGAGGCCCAAAAAGACCAGUUUAUCUGGGACAAGAAGAAAAAGGACAAGGACAGUGACUCUAAAGACAAGAAAAAAGAAAAGAGCGACAAAACCCACAAAGACGAUGAUUGCAAGAAAGACAAGAAGAAAGACAAGAAGAAAGACAAGGGUGAUGAUGGAGGAAAGAGUCAUGGCAAAGACAAAAAGAAGAAAAACAAGAGUCAUGACAAGGAGAAGAAGAAAGAUGGGAAGGGCUCAUCAUCCUCCUCUUCAUCCUCUUCCUGCUCCAGUGGUGAUGAGCACUGAUCCUUCCUGAAGACCUGCCUGUCUCAUCUUUAAUGUUAUACAUCAUUGAAUGACUAUUGUAUACUUGUGUUGUCCAUGAUUACAGUGACAAAUGGUGGUGGUGUUAUGAAAUAUAAAACAUCUGAUGAUACAGCCUUUUUUUUACAUAUACACCACAUGAUGGCGCUAUUUCUUCCUCUGCAGAUAAAGCAAAGUGUUCCG
ensembl:lncRNA protein PXR1-like